rnacentral:rRNA from 1 species
UACGGAGGGUGCAAGCGUUAAUCGGAAUUACUGGGCGUAAAGCGUGCGCAGGCGGUUUGUUAAGUCCGUUGUGAAAGCCCCCGAGCUCAACUUGGGAAUUGCAGUGGAUACUGGCAGGCUGGAGUACGGUAGAGGAAGGUGGAAUUCCCGGUGUAGCAGUGAAAUGCGUAGAUAUCGGGAGGAACACCAGUGGCGAAGGCGGCCUUCUGGACCAGUACUGACGCUCAUACACGAAAGCGUGGGGAGCAAACAGG